AAAGGUCUUGCACUUUGGUUGUAAUGGGGCUAGGGUACGUACAGGUGGGAUAAAACAAGAAAAAGGGGAUCAAAGAGGCUCAAUAUAUGAUUGAAAACAUGCAACACACCAGACCUUCCAUCAAUAAAACUCUAGAGUAACUCCUCAACAUAUCCACAAUCCUCUAAACGUAUGCAUUUUAUUAUAGAACUCUAUUUUUCUUUUUUCUUUUUUUUUUUUUAUUUUUUUGUUUUCUAAUUUUUUUUUAACAGCAUAUAUAUCCCAUAGAAUCAAUGAACUAUCUCUCAACACACUAAAAUUAUAGGAGUACUCAUCUUCUCAUCUCG
rnacentral:lncRNA from 1 species